rnacentral:rRNA from 1 species
GACGUAGGUGGCGAACGUUAUCCGGAAUUAUUGGGCGUAAAGGGUGCGUAGACGGCAUGAUAAGUUAUUGGCGGGAAAUCGAGGCUCAACCUCGUGGAAACUGAUAAUACUGUUUUGCUUGAGUACAGGAGAGGUUAACGGAACUCCAUGUGGAGCGGUAAAAUGUGUAGAUAUGUGGAAGAACAUCAAUAACGGCGAAGGCAGUUAACUAUUCUGUUACUGACGUUGAGGCACGAAAGCGUGGGGAGCAAAACGG